rnacentral:rRNA from 1 species
CCUACGGGAGGCAGCAGUGGGGAAUAUUGGACAAUGGGGGGAACCCUGGUCCAGCGACGCCGCGUGAGUGAAGAAGUAUUUCGGUAUGUAAAGCUCUAUCAGCAGGGAAGAAAGAAAUGACGGUACCUGACUAAGAAGCCCCGGCUAACUACGUGCCAGCAGCCGCGGUAAUACGUAGGGGGCAAGCGUUAUCCGGAUUUACUGGGUGUAAAGGGAGCGUAGACGGCGAUGCAAGUCUGAAGUGAAAGGCGGGGGCCCAACCCCUGGACUGCUUUGGAAACUGUAUGGCUGGAGUGCAGGAGAGGUAAGUGGAAUUCCUAGUGUAGCGGUGAAAUGCGUAGAUAUUAGGAGGAACACCAGUGGCGAAGGCGGCUUACUGGACUGUAACUGACGUUGAGGCUCGAAAGCGUGGGGAGCAAACAGGAUUAGAUACCCGGGUAGUC